CCUACGGGUGGCAGCAGUGAGGAAUAUUGGUCAAUGGGCGGAAGCCUGAACCAGCCAAGUAGCGUGCAGGAUGACGGCCCUACGGGUUGUAAACCGCUUUUGCACGGGGAUAACACCCUCCACUUAUACAGGUCUGCAGGUACCGUGCGAAUAAGGGCCGGCUAAUUCCGUGCCAGCAGCCGCGGUAAUACGGAAGGCCCGAGCGUUAUCCGGAUUCAUUGGGCUUAAGGGGAGCGUAGGCGGGCGUUAAAGUCAGCUGUAAAAUCUUGCGGCUCAACCGCGCAUCGCAGUUGAAACUGGACGCCUUGAGUUCACAACAGGCAGGCGGAAUUCGUGGUGUAGCGGUGAAAUGCAUAGAUAUCACGAGGAACCCCGAUUGCGAAGGCAGCCUGCUGGGGUGCGACUGACGCUGAGGCUCGAAGGUGCGGGUAUCAAACAGGAUUAGAUACCCGGGUAGUC
rnacentral:rRNA from 1 species